AUUGAACGCUGGCGGCAUGCCUUACACAUGCAAGUCGAACGGCAGCGGACCUUCGGGUGCCGGCGAGUGGCGAACGGGUGAGUAAUGCAUCGGAACGUGCCAUUGAGUGGGGGAUAACGUAGCGAAAGUUACGCUAAUACCGCAUAUUCUGUGAGCAGGAAAGCAGGGGACCGCAAGGCCUUGCGCUCUUUGAGCGGCCGAUGUCAGAUUAGCUAGUUGGUGAGGUAAAGGCUUACCAAGGCGACGAUCUGUAGCGGGUCUGAGAGGAUGAUCCGCCACACUGGAACUGAGACACGGUCCAGACUCCUACGGGAGGCAGCAGUGGGGGAAUUUUGGACAAUGGGCGGCAAGCCUGAUCCAGCCAUGCCGCGUGAGUGAAGAAGGCCUC
rnacentral:rRNA from 1 species